rnacentral:rRNA from 1 species
UGAAUACGAGAUGCUACGGCGUCGAAGCAGUCUAUGUCAUACUUCCAAGAAAAGCUUGCACUGUCAUAAACAAAUAAUGCCUGUACCAUAACCGACACAGGUGGGUAGGUAGAGUAUACUAAGGGGCGCGAGAUAACUCUCUCUAAGGAACUCGGCAAAAUGACUCCGUAACUUCGGGAGAAGGAGUGCCUUAUUUAUAAGGUUGCAAUAACAAGAUCCAAGCAACUGUUUACCAAAAACACAGGUCUCCGCUAAGUCGUAAGACGAUGUAUGGGGGCUGACGCCUGCCCAGUGCCAGAAGGUUAAAGAAGUUGGUUAGCAUCCGCGAAGCUGAUAACUGAAGCCCUGGUGAACGGCGGCCGUAACUAUAACGGUCCUAAGGUAGCGAAAUUCCUUGUCGGGUAAGUUCCGACCCGCACGAAAGGCGUAAUGAUUUGGAUACUGUCUCGGAGAGGGGCUCGGUGAAAUAGACCUGUCUGUGAAGAUGCGGACUACCUGCACCAGGACAGAAAGACCCUAUGAAGCUUUACUGUAACCUGAAAUUGAAAUUGGACUUUACUUGCGCAGUAUAGGUGGGAGGCGUUGAGAAUAUUCUUGCGGGAUUAUUGGAGCCAUCAGUGAGAUACCACUCUUGUAAUGUUAGAUUUCUAACUUUGUAUCAUUAUCUGGUCAAAGAACAGUUUCAGGCGGGCAGUUUGACUGGGGCGGUCGCCUCCUAAACGGUAACGGAGGCGCACAAAGGUUUCCUCUGAACGGGUAGAAAUCGUAUCUAGAGUGUAAAGGCAUAAGGAAGCUUGACUGUGAGACCUACAAGUCGAGCAGGGACGAAAGUCGGUCUUAGUGAUCUGACGGUGCUGAGUGGAAAGGCCGUCACUCAACGGAUAAAAGUUACUCUAAGGAUAACAGGCUGAUCUCCCCCAAGAGUUCACAUCGACGGGGAGGUUUGGCACCUCGAUGUCGGCUCAUCGCAUCCUGGGGCGGUAGUACGUCCCAAGGGUUGGGCUGUUCGCCCAUGAAAGCGGUACGCGAGCUGGGUUCAGAACGUCGUGAGACAGUUCGGUCCAUAUCCGGUGUAGGCGUUAGAAUAUUGAGAGGAGCCUUCUUUAGUACGAGAGGACCGAGAAGGACAUACCUCUGGUGUACCAGUUAUCGUGCCAACGGUAAACGCUAGGUAGCUAUGUGUGGAGUGGAUAACCGCUGAAAGCAUCUAAGUGGGAAGCCCACCUCAAGAUAAGUAUUCUCAU